rnacentral:misc_RNA from 1 species
GAUGAAGAACGCAGCGAAAUGCGAUACUUGGUGUGAAUUGCAGAAUCCCGUGAACCAUCGAGUCUUUGAACGCAAGUUGCGCCCGAAGCCACUAGGCCGAGGGCACGCCUGCCUGGGCGUCACACGCCGUUGCCCCCCAUCUACUCCUUCGGGAUUGCGGGGGGGCGGAUGAUGGCCUCCUGUGCGCCUAGCCGCGCGGUUGGCAUAAAUACCAAGUCCUCGGCGACGCACGCCACGACAAUCGGUGGUUGCGAAACCUCGGUUGCCCGUCGUGUGCGUUCGUCGCGCAUCGAGGGCUCGAAAAAAUGCUCGGCUCCGGCUGGGCUUUCAACGCGACCCCAGGUCAGGCGGGGUUACCCGCUGAAUUUAAGCAUAUCAAUAAGCGGAGGA